rnacentral:rRNA from 1 species
UUGCCUCAGUAACGGCGAGUGAAGCGGCAACAGCUCAAAUUUGAAAUCUGGCUUCGGUCCGAGUUGUAAUUUGUAGAGGAUGCUUCGGCUUACGUACCGGUCUAAGUUCCUUGGAACAGGACGUCACAGAGGGUGAGAAUCCCGUUUGUGGCCGGCACUUCCGCCAUGUGAAGCUCCUUCGACGAGUCGAGUUGUUUGGGAAUGCAGCUCUAAAUGGGAGGUAAAUUUCUUCUAAAGCUAAAUACCGGCCAGAGACCGAUAGCGCACAAGUAGAGUGAUCGAAAGAUGAAAAGCACUUUGGAAAGAGAGUUAAAAAGUACGUGAAAUUGUUGAAAGGGAAGCGCUUGCGACCAGACUUGCCCGCGGAUGCUCAACCGGUCCUUCGGCCGGUGCACUCUUCCGCGGUCAGGCCAGCAUCAGUUCGGGCGGUCGGAUAAAGGCCUUGGGAAUGUGGCUCUCUUCGGGGAGUGUUAUAGCCCUUGGUGCAAUACGGCCCGCCUGGACUGAGGCCCGCGCUUCGGCUAGGAUGCUGGCGUAAUGGUCGUAAGCGGCCCGUCUUGAAACACGGACCAAGGAGUCUAACAUCUAUGCGAGUGUUUGGGUGUCAAACCCGUGCGCGAAAUGAAAGUGAACGGAGGUGGGAACCUUAGGGUGCACCAUCGACCGAUCCUGAUGUCUUCGGAUGGAUUUGAGUAAGAGCAUAGCUGUUGGGACCCGAAAGAUGGUGAACUAUGCCUGAAUAGGGUGAAGCCAGAGGAAACUCUGGUGGAGGCUCGCAGCGGUUCUGACGUGCAAAUCGAUCGUCAAAUUUGGGUAUAGGGGCGAAAGACUAAUCGAACCAUCU